rnacentral:rRNA from 1 species
GACGAACGCUGGCGGCGCGCUUAACACAUGCAAGUCGAACGGAAAGGCCUGCUUUCCCUUGUGGAUUGCGGGUACUCGAGUGGCGAACGGGUGAGUAACACGUGAGUGAUCUGCCCCCAACUUGGGUAUAAGCCUGGGAAACUGGGUCUAAUUCCCGAUAGGACUGCAGGGUGGUGCCUGUGGUGGAAAACGAUUUUCUAGUGGUUGGGGAUGAGCUCGCGGCCUAUCAGCUUGUUGGUGGGGUAAUGGCCUACCAAGGCGGCGACGGGUAGCCGGCCUGAGAGGGUGGACGGCCACAUUGGGACUGAGAUACGGCCCAGACUCCUACGGGAGGCAGCAGUGGGGAAUAUUGCACAAUGGGCGGAAGCCGGAUGCAGCGACGCCGCGUGGGGGAUGACGGCCUUCGGGUUGUAAACUCCUUUCGACCGCGAGGAAGCCACCUGGUUGGAAGGGUGGUGACGGUAGUGGUAGAAGAAGCACCGGCUAACUACGU